UUGUGUCAAGAAUAUCGAGAACUCAAAAUCCGUGGAUAUGAUAUGAAGAUCGGUAACUCUCUCUCUCACUCAAUCAAAUAGUUUUUCCAUCUAAUUGACAUUUGAAAACAAUGCAAAUGUCAACCAAAAUGCCAAAAAUUAGUGUACAAAUAGCAAAGUUCCAUGCAUAAUGGAGGAGCCACGAAAUUUAGAUCAAAAUACCAAAUGAAAGUGGAUCGGACAUCUGAAAUACAAAAGGAACAAUUUAUAGUUAUUGUCACUCAACUUUAAAUAAAAUCAUAUUGCGAUGAUGACUCAAGUAUAUACAUGAUAGAUCAUCCCUUCUGUGUUAGAUAAAAUUAAUCAACUCGUUUAAAAAAAAGAAAAAGGGAUUUGUGAGUUAGAAUUCAUGAGUUCAUUUUUUCUUGCAUUACAGGAUGGCAUGGAAACGUGGAGAAACAUAAUACUGAUACAGGAAUUCCUCCAGUUGUUGAAGAAGGAAUGAGUAGAUAAAAAAAGCUAAGCCUUGAAUUGAGAACCAGAUUUCAACCCAGCUGUAUCGAAGUUCAUAUAAUAAUGUAUCAUAUGAAUAAAAAGUAGUAAUUAAGAUGGUUGUCCUAUUAUACUAUGAGUUGAGGGCGGUUGUGUUGCGAUAAGGUUUUAGUUUGUAUUAUAUUAUUGUGAGUUGACUAUGUUUAUAUAUUAAUUCAAACUUAGAAGUUGUGACAAAGUUGUAUAUGCAUUUUUAUAUAUUUGACUAGAAUCGAAAGUUUUCUCUCAUCACUUAUUUACCACACGUCAUUAUGAAAUACAAAAGGAAU
rnacentral:lncRNA from 1 species